AGAUCGAAAAUGUGGAGCGAAGUUCUGGUCCAUAGCUGGCUACAUUGUAGUAAUUACACUUUGGAUAGCAUUUCUGUCUGUGUGUCCAGUCAAAGUUUAUAUUGUUGAAGGUGUAUUGAAAAAGAUUUUUGAAUGGCGUUGUUAUAAAGGUAUAUCGAAAAUGAUUUCUGACUGGAGUUGUUGUAAAUAUAAUGUAUGUAGGAAACCGAGGCCAAUUUCAGUUUUUAGAGGUGUGUCUUUGUGUGUGCUGACAGUUUUAAUUUUGAUUAUUGUAUGGUGCAUCCCGGAAUCGACCAUCAACUGUGAAAACCAGUAUUAUGUGUUAUGUGUUUUGGUACCGAUAUGUGGAUUUAUAAUUGCUGUUUUGUGUUUGAACAAGGAAGAUGCAAAAGAAACGAAAACUAUUGUUGAACAUG